rnacentral:misc_RNA from 1 species
UUUCUGUAGGUGAACCUGCGGAAGGAUCAUUAUUGUAUAACCGAGGUGCGAGGGCUGUCGCUGACCCGAAAGGUCGUGCACGCCCGAGUGCCCUCACACACAUCCACCUCACCCCUAUGUGCACCACCGCGUGGGUCCCCCUUUGGCUUGUUCGGAGGGGGGCUUACGUUUUCACACAAACUUUGUAUGCAGUGUAGAAUGUAUUUUUUGUUUUUGCGAUCACGCAAUCAAUACAACUUUCAACAACGGAUCUCUUGGCUCUC